rnacentral:rRNA from 1 species
UACGUAGGCAGGCAAGCGUUGUUCGGAAUUACUGGGCGUAAAGAGUGUGUAGGCGGUGUUCCAAGUCUGGUGUGAAAUCUCCCGGCUUAACUGGGAGGGUGCAUUAGAAACUGGAAUGCUAGAGGAUGGGAGAGGUAAGCGGAAUUCCUGGUGUAGCGGUGAAAUGCGUAGAUAUCAGGAGGAACACCUGUGGUGUAGACAGCUUACUGGACCAUUCUGACGCUGAGACACGAAAGCGUGGGUAGCAAACAGG